rnacentral:pre_miRNA from 1 species
CCGGACACCCAGAUCCACAGGCGAGGAGGUGGGGGUCGCUAGAUCUGGAGGCCUCGGCCUCCUCCCUGGUCGAUGCGGCGGCGAUA